rnacentral:rRNA from 1 species
GACGAACGCUGGCGGCGUGCUUAACACAUGCAAGUCGAACGGAAAGGCCCUGCUUUUGUGGGGUGCUCGAGUGGCGAACGGGUGAGUAACACGUGAGUAACCUGCCCUUGACUUUGGGAUAACUUCAGGAAACUGGGGCUAAUACCGGAUAGGAGCUCCUGCUGCAUGGUGGGGGUUGGAAAGUUUCGGCGGUUGGGGAUGGACUCGCGGCUUAUCAGCUUGUUGGUGGGGUAGUGGCUUACCAAGGCUUUGACGGGUAGCCGGCCUGAGAGGGUGACCGGCCACAUUGGGACUGAGAUACGGCCCAGACUCCUACGGGAGGCAGCAGUGGGGAAUAGUGCACAAUGGGCUGAAGCCUGAUGCAGCAACGCCGCGUGCGGGAUGACGGCCUUCGGGUUGUAAACCGCUUUCGCCUGUGAAGAAGAGUGAGUGACGGUAAUGGGUAAAGAAGCACCGGCUAACUACGUG